UUGUAGGCUUGGUCGGGAAGCUAGCCCCUUUCCUCUAUGCAAACGGGCUUUAUGGCAGACGACGGACGACUAGUGAAAAAAGAUUUUGGAAUCGAGUCUUUAAUCUUUUGUUGACGCUUUGUCCGCUUUGAUCCUACAUUUGUGAACCGGGUCAGGUGGGGAACCAAGCAGCCCUAAUCAUUUGUCAUGGGUGCUUAGCGGGUUGCAAAGUUGAGAAAGUUUGAAGGUAGCUCUUCCUUUAACUUUUCAGCCAGUUUUCCGGCCUACAU
rnacentral:SRP_RNA from 1 species